ensembl:misc_RNA Metazoa_SRP Metazoan signal recognition particle RNA
GCCAGGCAUGGUGGCGGGUGCCUGUAAUCCCAGCUACUCUGGAGGCUGAGGCAGGAGAAUCGCUUGAGCCCAGGAGGCAGAGGUUGCAGUGAGCCGAGAUCACGCUGCUGCACUCUAGCCUGGGCAACAGAGCAAGAUUCUGUCUCAA